AUUGAACGCUGGCGGCAGGCCUAACACAUGCAAGUCGAACGCGUGGCGGAAGUGUGAGUAAUGUCUGGGAAACUGCCUGAUGGAGGGGUAUAACGACUGGAAACUGUAGCUAAUACCGCAUACCAUCAGAUGUGCCCAUAUGGGAUUAUCUAGUUGGGGGGGUAACGGCUCACCAAGGCGACGAUCCCUAGCUGGUCUGAGAGGAUGACCGGCAACACUGGAACUGAGACACGGUCCAGACUCCUACGGGAGGCAGCAGUGGGGAAUAUUGCACAAUGGGCGCAAGCCUGAUGCAGCCAUGCCGCGUGUAUGAAGAAGGCCUUCGGGUUGUAAAGUACUUUCAGCGGGGAGGCGUUACCCGCAGAAGAAGCACCGGCUAACUCCGUGCCAGCAGCCGCGGUAAUAC
rnacentral:rRNA from 1 species